UUUCCCCAUCAAAAUAAAAUGUUUAUGUUGGAAAAUAAAUGUCAAAUGAGAUCUAAUUUAGCAUGAAGACUGGCUAAAGGUCUUGCAGAUAGCGUCUUAUACACAGAACCAUCCUGAUGGGACAUCUGUCAUUGCUUGAUGUGCCUCUGCCCCUGUCUUCAUACUGUACCCCCUGAAAGGUCACCGGUAAAAGCUACUUAAUGCUUCCUAAAACAAUUUGCAUGCACAUUCGGACUAAUACCUGAAAGAUCAACAUCAUAACAACAACAACAAGCUCUGCAUUCAUCUGCCCUCACUGACAAAAACAAGAAAAUAAGAAACCCUCUAAAAACAGAGACAACAAUCAGCUUCAAAGGUGCCGGAACAGGUCAAACUAAUCUACUUCUAACAACGCUAAUGACAAACUACAUCACUACGGAGCAGCUACCACCUUCUACUCUCAGCCU